GAUGAACGCUGGCGGCGUGCCUAAUACAUGCAAGUCGAGCGAACGGACGAGAAGCUUGCUUCUCUGAUGUUAGCGGCGGACGGGUGAGUAACACGUGGAUAACCUACCUAUAAGACUGGGAUAACUUCGGGAAACCGGAGCUAAUACCGGAUAAUAUUUUGAACCGCAUGGUUCAAAAGUGAAAGACGGUCUUGUUGUCACUUAUAGAUGGAUCCGCGCUGCAUUAGCUAGUUGGUAAGGUAACGGCUUACCAAGGCAACGAUGCAUAGCCGACCUGAGAGGGUGAUCGGCCACACUGGAACUGAGACACGGUCCAGACUCCUACGGGAGGCAGCAGUAGGGAAUCUUCCGCAAUGGGCGAAAGCCUGACGGAGCAACGCCGCGUGAGUGAUGAAGGUCUUUGGAUCGUAAAACUCUGUUAUUAGGGAAGAACAUAUGUGUAAGUAACUGUGCACAUCUUGACGGUACCUAAUCAGAAAGCCACGGCUAACUACGUG
rnacentral:rRNA from 1 species